rnacentral:rRNA from 1 species
GUGUCCCUACGGGAGGCAGCAGUGGGGAAUAUUGCACAAUGGGGGGAACCCUGAUGCAGCGACGCCGCGUGGGCGAGGAAGUAUUUCGGUAUGUAAAGCCCUAUCGGCAGGGAAGAAGAAAUGACGGUACCUGAAUAAGAAGCACCGGCUAAAUACGGGCCAGCAGCCGCGGUAAUACGUAUGGUGCAAGCGUUAUCCGGAUUUACUGGGCGGAAAGGGAGCGCAGGCGGCGCGCCAAGUCUGAUGUGAAACCCCGGGGCUCAACCCCGGGCAUGCAUUGGAAACUGGCGGGCUGGGGUGACGGG